GGAUGUGAGAGUGAUCUAGCUGCAACAUCUGUCGCUGGCUAGGUGGGUGUCCCCUUCCUUUCUCACUGCUCCAUGUGAAUCCCUCCCGAAGCUGCACACUUGGUCGAAGAGGACGAUCUUCCCUGAAUAGAGGAGGACCGGUCUUCAGUCAAGGGUAUACAAGUAGCUGUGCUCCCCUGCUAGAACCUCCAAACAAGCUCUCAAAUUACAGAUCUGUGCCUGUGAAUAGAUAAGUGUGUUCAUAUGGGACUGUGAGUGCGUGCGUGCAUGCGUGUGUGUGCGCGCGCGC
ensembl:misc_RNA 7SK 7SK RNA